UGAAGCAGCAGGCAGUCCAGCAGCAGAAGGCCAUCCAGCCCCAGGCUGCACAGGGCCCGGCAGCCGUCCAGCAGAAGAUCACCGCACAGCAGAUCACCACCCCUGGCGCGCAGCAGAAGGUUGCCUACGCCGCGCAGCCGGCCCUUAAGACCCAGUUUCUUACCACACCCAUCUCCCAGGCCCAGAAACUGGCCGGGGCCCAGCAAGUGCAGACCCAGAUCCAGGUUGCAAAACUUCCUCAAGUUGUUCAACAGCAAACACCCGUGGCCAGCAUCCAGCAAGUUGCCUCUGCUUCCCAGCAGGUAGGACGCAUAGACAAAGUGGA
rnacentral:lncRNA from 1 species